ACCUCGACGUCAUCAGGGAGCAUGUUCAGUUGGCUCUGGCUCACUUCACUAGCACGGCAAAUGUGUAACGUUAGAGAGACAGAGAGACGAUGGGGACAAACGUUAGAGAUACCUACUCCAUCCAGGAGUGUGUUUCUGUACUCAAGGAGAGCUGUGUAAGGAUCUUCGUCAUUGACGUCAUCAUGGAGCAUGUUCAGUUGGCUCUGGCUCACUUGUGUAAUUGCUCUAGCUAGCAGGAGAUCUGGUUCUCUGAGUAAUCUGCGAUUCCACACACAAUUCAGUUCCGUGUCAGUGACACAAGUUGUUGAAACUUGAGUCUUUUGGGAUAGAUUUCCCUCUAGGUUCGGAGUAGUUGCUGGUCUCAUGUGGGAUAGAUCUCUCUAGGUUCAGAGUAGUUGCUGGUCUCAUGUGGGAUAGAUCUCUCUAGGUUCAGAGUAGUUGCUGGUCUCAUGUGGGAUAGAUCUCUCUAGGUUCAGAGUAGUUGCUGGUCUCAUGUGGGAUAGAUCUCUCUAGGUUCAGAGUAGUUGCUGGUCUCAUGUGGGAUAGAUCUCUCUAGGUUCAGAGUAGUUGCUGGUCUCAUGUGGGAUAGAUCUCUCUAGGUUCAGAGUAGUUGCUGGUCUCAUGUGGGAUAGAUCUCUCUAGGUUCAGAGUAGUUGCUGGUCUCAUGUGGGAUAGAUCUCUCUAGGUUCAGAGUAGUUGUUGGUCUCAUGUGGGAUAGAUUUCUCUAGGUUCAGAGUAGUUGCUGGUCUCAUGUGGGAUAGAUCUCUCUAGGUUCAGAGUAGUUGCUGGUCUCAUGUGGGAUAGAUCUCUCUAGGUUCAGAGUAGUUGCUGGUCUCAUGUGGGAUAGAUCUCUCUAGGUUCAGAGUAGUUGCUGGUCUCAUGUGGGAUAGAUCUCUCUAGGUUCAGAGUAGUUGUUGGUCUCAUUUGUUCCGUGUUUCAGAAUGUUAAAGCUUUCCUUGUGUUACUUUCUAACCCCUGACACCGUGUAACAUAACAGCACAGUGAGGCUGGGAUGCGGGGAGAAGAACCUUGUUUAUCAGAUGUCAUGGGUCAAGUCAAGUGUAAGUACAGAUGAUCGAAUGUAGUGAUUAGUAACAGCGCCACCCUCAGGCACUCCAGGGAAGUACAUGCACAUACAUCACAGUUCUGAUAAG